ACGAACGCUGGCGGCACGCCUAACACAUGCAAGUCGAACGAAGUAGCAAUACUUAGUGGCAGACGGGUGAGUAACAUGUAGGUAUCUACCCUUUGGCCUGGAAUAACACGAGGAAACUUGUGCUAAUACCGGAUAAGUCUUUACGGAGAAAGCUUUAUGCACCAUUGGAUGAGCCCGCACUUGAUUAGCUAGUUGGUAAGGUAAAGCUUACCAAGGCAACGAUCAAUAGCUGUUCUUAGAGGAAGACCAGCCACAUUGGGACUGAGACACGGCCCAGACUCCUACGGGAGGCAGCAGUGGGGAAUAUUGG
rnacentral:rRNA from 1 species